UACGAAGGGGGCUAGCGUUGUUCGGAAUUACUGGGCGUAAAGCGCGCGCAGGCGGUUCUUCAAGUCAGAGGUGAAAGCCCAGAGCUCAACUCUGGAAUGGCCUUUGAGACUAGAGAACUUGGGUACGGGAGAGGUGAGUGGAAUUCCGAGUGUAGAGGUGAAAUUCGUAGAUAUUCGGAAGAACACCAGUGGCGAAGGCGCUCACUGGCCCGUUACCGACGCUCAGGCGCGACAGCGUGGGGAGCAAACAGG
rnacentral:rRNA from 1 species